UGUAACAAGUCUGCAAACAAGUUGUUACAAGUCUGUUCAGAAGUUGUCAACAAGUUGUGUUCGCACUGCUUGUUCCCAGUUUGUUGUAACAAGAUUGAAACAAGCUGUUAACAACUUGUAACAAGCUUGAUGGCAUUAUCAGCUUUGUUACAAGACUGUGCUAACAAGUUUGUUACAGCCAUGAUAUAACAAGGAUGUUACAAGGUUGUCAACACGAGGCUGUAACAAUCUUGUUAUAUCAAGCAUGUAACGGACCUGUCAGAACAACCUUGCAACAGGUCUGAUAAUUUCGAGAAGGUUGUUACAAGUUGUUCCAAACCUGUUGACAACUUGUGACAAGCAGUGCGAAUACAUCUUGUUGACGGCUUGUUGGCAGACUUGUUACAAGAUGUGAGAUUUUUACGUGUGUAG